rnacentral:rRNA from 1 species
UACGUAGGGGGCAAGCGUUGUCCGGAUUCAUUGGGCGUAAAGAGCGUGUAGGCGGCCAGGUAGGUCGGUUGUGAAAACUGGAGGCUCAACCUUCAGAGGUCGACCGAAACCAUCUGGCUAGAGUCCGGGAGAGGAGAGUGGAAUUCCUGGUGUAGCGGUGAAAUGCGCAGAUAUCAGGAAGAACACCCGUGGCGAAAGCGGCUCUCUGGGCCAUUACUGACGCUGAGGAGCGAAAGCGUGGGGAGCGAACAGG